rnacentral:rRNA from 1 species
UGGCGAACGGGUGAGUAAUACAUCGGAACGUGUCCGCUCGUGGGGGACAACCAGCCGAAAGGUUGGCUAAUACCGCAUGAGUCCUACGGAAGAAAGAGGGGGACCCGCAAGGGCCUCUCGCGAGCGGAGCGGCCGAUGACUGAUUAGCCGGUUGGUGAGGUAACGGCUCACCAAAGCAACGAUCAGUAGCUGGUCUGAGAGGACGACCAGCCACACUGGACUGAGACACGGCCCAGACUCCUACGGAAGGCAGCAG